rnacentral:rRNA from 1 species
AGUGAACGCUGGCGGUAGGCCUAACACAUGCAAGUCGAACGGCAGCACAGUAAGAGCUUGCUCUUACGGGUGGCGAGUGGCGGACGGGUGAGGAAUACAUCGGAAUCUACUUUUUCGUGGGUGAUAACGUAGGGAAACUUACGCUAAUACCUCAUACGACCUACGGGUGAAAGCAGGGGUUCUUCGGACCUUGCGCGAUUGUAUGAGCCGAUGUCGGAUUAGCUAGUUGGCGGGGUAAAGGCCCACCAAGGCGACGAUCCGUAGCUGGUCUGAGAGGAUGAUCAGCCACACUGGAACUGAGACACGGUCCAGACUCCUACGGGAGGCAGCAGUGGGGAAUAUUGGACAAUGGGCGCAAGCCUGAUCCAGCAAUACCGCGUGGGUGAAGAAGGCCUUCGGGUUGUAAAGCCCUUUUGUUGGGAAAGAAAAGCAGCAGGUUAAAACCCCGCUGUUCUGACGGUACCCAAAGAAUAAGCACCGGCUAACUUCGUG